rnacentral:misc_RNA from 1 species
GUUUUUCUCCAAAAUGGAUGUAAAAAAUGGAAUCAGCGAGCUGAAAUUAGGGAGGAAGGAUUUUGCAAAAUUGCUAAUGUAGCAGAGUGGCACUGACAUGGCAGUACAAUAGCUGGUGGUGUAGCGGUUGAAGUGGCUAAUGACAUGGCAGAAGCAGAAUCUAGUGCAUGCAGGCACAAAACAACAGUGUGAGCUUAAUUGGACUUUGAGCGGGUCAGACCUGACCUAGCAGGUUUGGACUUGUGAAUGGUUGGAUGAGCAAUCCAUCAACAGGAAUGUGUCAAUCGACGGCCUGCAAGACUAAAGCAAGGUGCAGGCAUCAGAUUCUGC